rnacentral:rRNA from 1 species
CGUAGGGUGCAAGCGUUGUCCGGAAUUAUUGGGCGUAAAGAGCUCGUAGGCGGUCUGUCGCGUCUGCUGUGAAAUCCCGAGGCUCAACCUCGGGCCUGCAGUGGGUACGGGCAGACUAGAGUGCGGUAGGGGAGAAUGGAACUCCUGGUGUAGCGGUGGAAUGCGCAGAUAUCAGGAAGAACACCGAUGGCGAAGGCAGUUCUCUGGGCCGUAACUGACGCUGAGGAGCGAAAGCGUGGGAGCGAACAGGAUU